rnacentral:sRNA from 1 species
AGAACCUGGAGAAGUGAGAGGAUUGGAAAAGUUCUCAUUGUUCUGAGCUCAGUUAUUUUCUCUGUGCUACAGGGCAGAGGAUCCUUUGGCAUGAAAUAAGAGCUAAGUGGUCCAACAGGCGUUGAAGUGUUAAAACAAGAAUAGAAUAAGUCCUGUGCUAAUCCUGACACAAGAUAGCAGGCUCUGGGGAUGAUAAUGCCUGCUGCUGAUGGGCAGACCAGGGAUUAGCAACCACCCAGGGAAUAUGCUUCAGAUAAACUAAACAGGAGGCUCCCAUCACUUCCAGCAAAAAGCCAGCCCGCUACUUUAUGGAGACAGGAGAGACUGUCAGACAGUUCCUGCUGCUGUCCAGGUGCGUCUGAACAGAGUUUUGUCUUGUCACCCAAGCUGGAGUGCAGUGGCACCAUCUUGCCUCACCUACAACCUCUGCCUCCCGGGUUCAAGCAGUUCUCCUGCCUCAGCCUCCUGAGUAGCUGGGAUUACAGGAGAGCAAGCCCUGGAGGUUCACUCUUUCAAGAAGUCGUGUGCUGAGGUGUAAUGCU